AGAGUUUGAUCAUGGCUCAGGAUGAACGCCGGCGGUGUGCCUAAUACAUGCAAGUCGUACGCACUGGCCCAACUGAUUGAUGGUGCUUGCACCUGAUUGACGAUGGAUCACCAGUGAGUGGCGGACGGGUGAGUAACACGUAGGUAACCUGCCCCGGAGCGGGGGAUAACAUUUGGAAACAGAUGCUAAUACCGCAUAACAACAAAAGCCACAUGGCUUUUGUUUGAAAGAUGGCUUUGGCUAUCACUCUGGGAUGGACCUGCGGUGCAUUAGCUAGUUGGUAAGGUAACGGCUUACCAAGGCGACGAUGCAUAGCCGAGUUGAGAGACUGAUCGGCCACAAUGGAACUGAGACACGGUCCAUACUCCUACGGGUGGCUGCAGUAGGGAAUCUUCGGCAAUGGGGGCAACCCUGACCGAGCAACGCCGCGUGAGUGAAGAAGGUUUUCGGAUCGUAAAGCUCUGUUGUAAGAGAAGAACGUGUGUGAGAGUGGAAAGUUCACACAGUGACGGUAACUUACCAGAAAGGGACGGCUAACUACGUGCCAGCAGCCGCGGUAAUACGUAGGUCCCGAGCGUUAUCCGGAUUUAUUGGGCGUAAAGCGAGCGCAGGCGGUUGGAUAAGUCUGAAGUUAAAGGCUGUGGCUUAACCAUAGUAUGCUUUGGAAACUGUUCAACUUGAGUGCAGAAGGGGAGAGUGGAAUUCCAUGUGUAGCGGUGGAAUGCGUAGAUAUAUGGAGGAACACCGGUGGCGAAAGCGGCUCUCUGGUCUGUAACUGACGCUGAGGCUCGAAAGCGUGGGUAGCGAACAGGAUUAGAUACCCCGGUAGUC
rnacentral:rRNA from 1 species